GCUAACUACGUGCCAGCAGCCGCGGUAAAACGUAGGAGGCGAGCGUUAUCCGGAUUUACUGGGUGUAAAGCGCGUGCAGGCGGUUCAGAAAGUUGGAUGUAAAAGCUCCCGGCUCAACUGGGAGAGGUCGUUCAAAACUUCUGGACUAGAGGCAGGUAGAGGAAGGCGGAAUUCCGGGUGUAGUGGUGAAAUGCGUAGAUAUCCGGAGGAACACCAGUGGCGAAAGCGGCCUUCUGGGCCUGAACUGACGCUCAGACGCGAAAGCUAGGGUAGCAAACGGGAUUAGAUACCCUGGUAGUC
rnacentral:rRNA from 1 species